rnacentral:rRNA from 1 species
CCUACGGGAGGCAGCAGUGAGGAAUAUUGGUCAAUGGACGAGAGUCUGAACCAGCCAAGUAGCGUGAAGGAUGACUGCCCUAUGGGUUGUAAACUUCUUUUAUAUGGGAAUAAAAUGUUCCACGUGUGGGAUUUUGUAUGUACCAUAUGAAUAAGGAUCGGCUAACUCCGUGCCAGCAGCCGCGGUAAUACGGAGGAUCCGAGCGUUAUCCGGAUUUAUUGGGUUUAAAGGGAGCGUAGGUGGAUUGUUAAGUCAGUUGUGAAAGUUUGCGGUUCAACCGUAAAAUUGCAGUUGAAACUGGCAGUCUUGAGGACAGUAGAGGUGAGCGGAAUUCGUGGUGUAGCGGUGAAAUGCUUAGAUAUCACGAAGAACUCCGAUUGCGAAGGCAGUUCACUGGACUGCAACUGACACUGAGGCUCGAAAGUGUGGGUAUCAAACAGGAUUAGAUACCCUUGUAGUC